rnacentral:rRNA from 1 species
CCUACGGGAGGCAGCAGUGGGGAAUAUUGCGCAAUGGGCGAAAGCCUGACGCCGCGACGCCGCGUGAGGGAUGAAGGUCUUCGGAUCGUAAACCUCUGUCAGCAGGGAAGAACGGUCACUGUGCUAAUCAGCAGUGACUUGACGGUACCUGCAAAGGAAGCACCGGCUAACUCCGUGCCAGCAGCCGCGGUAAUACGGAGGGUGCGAGCGUUAAUCGGAAUUACUGGGCGUAAAGCGCUCGUAGGCGGUAUGUCAAGUCAAGGGUGAAAUCCCCGCGCUCAACGUGGGAACUGACUUUGAAACUGGCAAACUGGAGUGUGUGAGAGGAUAGUGGAAUUCCAGGUGUAGGAGUGAAAUCCGUAGAUAUCUGGAGGAACAUCAGUGGCGAAGGCGACUAUCUGGCACAUAACUGACGCUGAGGAGCGAAAGCGUGGGUAGCAAACAGGAUUAGAUACCCUUGUAGUC